rnacentral:tRNA from 1 species
GGUGGUGGUGGUGGGGGGGAACCCUCUGAUUUAGAGUCAGAGGACCUGAGUUCAAAUCUUGGCUCUACUU